GGUCGUUAAGUGGGUGACGUGUUAGCAUUAGAAGCGAAUGGUGCUGGGUUCGAGUCCCAGAAUGAAC
rnacentral:tRNA from 1 species